AUCUGGGGAAGGCUGGCUGGGGUUCUUUCCCACUUUCUCCACCAGGGGGCUUCCUGGAGGUUCCUGGAGGGCGUGGUUUCACGGCUGCACACCUGACGCAUAUCUGACUCGUUUGGAGGAGUAUAUCUGGAUGGAGCUGCUGACACUCCAGUGCCAGAGUGUUAGCCAGUAAUGGUUUCUCCUCCGCGACGCCUUAGCAGCCUGACCUGAGUUCUUGGGAAGUUAUUCCAUCCUGGACCCCAGCUCCUUCACUCACCUGUCCGCCCUCCAACCGAACCCCGGCCUCUCAGAUCCACCAGCCCCGGAUCCACAGUCGAGCCUUUCCCCAGUUCAACCCAUAAAUUCCAGAGAUCCAGCGUUUCUGAGAGAGAGACCUCCUGUCAUCACCUGUACAUAUUUGCACAUUGUAUUUAAUAAAUCUCCUUAACCUGAUCUGUUUCCGGAGUGUGUUCUGCGCAUGUGGGUUCAGAGACUUGAUCAC